AAAAGACUCGACAAACUUAACUAGACUAUUACAAACUCAAACAUCACCUAAAAGACUGAAUAUUAUUAUAUAGGACUAGCAAGUGAAACAUGAACAAUAGACUUAAAAACAUAAAAAGGCUCCUCGGGCAGCUCCUGAAUGCAGUGAUCCUGGGGUAUCUGUCAUGCUCAAACUCCGGUAAGUAGAUCCACACCUAUAUGAGAAAACUUAAACCAACACUAUGUGAGACAAUAACAUCCCUACUAGACCAUGCAAGACAUGGUUGCGACUAUUUCUCUUAAAUUAACCUAUGUGGCUAAAAAUGCAAGAUUUGGCUAAGACCCCACGAAGCCAAGAACAUAAACUCACUAGGAAGACCGGACCCUAUGUGGGUUGCCUUCGUAUCCCGCCCCGAGAGACGAGAAUCGAGUUCACGUAGUUCGGGCAAAUUGGAUAUGAGCAAGAAUUAAAAAAACAACUAAUUUAGAGAAAAUAUUUUUUUGUCUCCUUUUUUUAAGAAAAAAUGAUGAGACAUGUAAACUCUUUUUGGAUUUUCUUUUUCCUUUUUUUUUGAUUUUUUUUUUUGAAAAUAAAUAAUGGGAAAGUGCAAAAUCUUUUUGGAUUUUUCCAUUUUCAUUUUUUGGUCUUUUCUUAAAAAUAAUGUGAAAGAAAAACAUAACUGGGUCAUACUUGCUUUAUUAUAUACCUCACCCUCUUUUAUUUCUCAUUUACCCUCAACCAUCAUUGGUCCACCAAGUGACCUCUUUUACCCUUGGAAAUGGCAACAUGUAGCACAUAAGAUGCAUCAGAUUGGUCUUUUAUUUUUGGGUACACAUGUCCUAGACGGACCCAACCCCUGUGUUGAGUCCCCAAAGUCAAAUGCACAUGAUGCAAACAAGUGUUCCUACUAGGGAUCCGGCAUGAGGCUGAGUUAUUCUACGUUCAAAAUCCGGGUAUGUUGUUUGAGACUUGUGUACCCGAGUGGACAACUCGAGCCGGGGGAGGGCUACGUACCGGGAACCAAAAGGCCAUCCGGCUUUGUAACUUGUCCGAGCCUCUUCCUAAUUUAAGGUAUAACACUAACAGAAGAGGAGUCACUCGUGCGUGCACAUACCCGAAGACGAGAAGAGAAGGGUUUCGUAGCAGUUUAUAUACAGUUCAAAUAGUACCAAAGCGGUAAAAAGCAGCAUUUAGAACAUUAGGCACAAACAUGUAAUAAAACAAGAUAAUAAAUAAAAGCCAAAUAUAACAUUUAUUCUAAGUUCGAAUUCUUCAACCCUGAACUAGAGAUUCUGUGUUCUUGUCCCCAGCAGAAUCGCUAGAGCUGUCACACCUCCUUUUUCCUACUCCCUGAAAGGAGCAUAAGGGAGUUUUUCAAUUUAAGUGACAAUCAAAACAGGAUUAUUUAUAUAGAAAUCAGAGUCGCCACUUGAGAUAAUUUAUGGUGUCCCAAGUCACUGGUUUAGAAUCCCGAAUCGAGGAAAGAUUGACUCUGUUUUAUAGUCCGCGAACACAGAAAUCCGGGUAAGGAAUUCUGUUAACCCGGGAGAAGGUGUUAGGCAUUCCCGGGUUCCGUGGUUCUAGCACGGUCACUCAACUAUUAUUCUUGGCUUAAUUAUCUGAUUUUAAACAUUUUUAAACCUAUGUACAUUUUUAACUUUAAAACCGCUUUUAUUUAUUUAAAGAACUAAUUCAAGAUCGUAGUACACUUGCGAACCGCGUCACAUGAAAUGCACACGCGAUUUACAAUAUGUUUUAUUCUAUUAUUAUUAUUCAAAGUUAUGGUGGGGUCACAUGAAAUGCACACCCGAAUUAAGAUUUACGUAUCGUGACCAUGUCACGGGAAUCGUACACAUGGCCACGAUGAUUCAUUGUUCAAAAUAACUUAUAUUCCUUCGCGUAGAAGAAUGUCAAUUUAAGCAGCUGAGCACUGCAGCAAAGGAAUUUUUCCUCGAGCAUAAUAUUGUAACAUACUCUGUAGAAUACAAGAUCUCCAUGUUUGCAGUAAGUGGAAGAAUUAUCAAAACAUCAAUAAACAAAAAAGUUUACCAUGUAGACAUCUCAAUUACCAUAUUUCACCAUUAAUGAUUAACAAUGGUGAUCCCUAACUUAUGCACAAUGCCUUGCUACUAUGAUACCACUUACACAGCUUGAAAUAAAGCUCAACAAUCCAGUAGUAAAGUUUUAAUCUUUCGUCAACCAUGUUUUAAAUAAUAAGCAAAUCAAAUGGAAUCAAUAAUUGGAAUAACAAUUCCAAAGACAUAUGACCAGAUAAAAAGUGAAAAUAUCCAAACAAGAUAAAUUCUAUACAAGAGACUAAAUCACUAAUGCUUCUGAUUCAACAAGAAAUCAACAUUUUGCAACUUAAGAACUUAGUAUUAUUAAAUGUCUCACCAAAUAAUGCACCCACCCUUUAUUAAUUCAAAACCCAUAUGUUUUUAGUUCCAAAAUAUGUUCUAUCCAAUUAAAUUAAUAAACUCAACAGUAAGAUUAUACUAGUUCACAAAUCUAUACACUAGCAAUAUUGAUCUAAGCAGAAGCACAUCGCUAAAAGUAAAUUACACGAAACAUCAAAAUUGUACAAAAACACCAAUUCAAAAUUAAUUAGAUUAAGACAAGAAAUGAACCUCAAGCUUUGAAUCUGAAACUUUAAUUAUUUUACAGCUCUGUAAUCCGAAAGCGAACUAAACAAUGAACGACCCAAUCGAACUCGACGAACUCGGCUCGGACCUCAACUCGACUCAGAAACCCGCACUGAAGAAGUAUGGUGGCUCGUUCUGUCACUGUCUCCAUUUUCCCCAUCCCCCUUUCUAUUCCAUUUUCAAUUUCAUGCUUAUAUAAAGAUGGGCGAUUGUAUUGGUGCUUUCUUUUUUGUUAGGAGGAUGAUUUCUUGUGGGGAUGAGUAAGUUUUGGAGAUUAGAGGGGUGGGGUUCUGCUGGUUUAGGGAGUGUCGCUUGGCUUUUUCUUUUUCUUGCUGAUGCGCUAGCUUUUGG
rnacentral:lncRNA from 1 species